UACGUAGGGUGCGGAGCGUUGAAUCGAAUUACUGGGCGUAAAGCGUGCGCAGGCGGUAAGUUAAGUCUGAUGUGAAAGCCCCGGGCUCAACCUGGGAAUGGCAUUGGAAACUGGCUUGCUGGAGUGUGGCAGAGGGGGGUGGAAUUCCGCGUGUAGCAGUGAAAUGCGUAGAGAUGCGGAGGAACACCGAUGGCGAAGGCAGCCCCCUGGGUCAAGAUUGACGCUCAUGCACGAAAGCGUGGGGAGCAAACAGG
rnacentral:rRNA from 1 species